rnacentral:lncRNA from 10 species
CCAAUCAAUUAUUGUUAUUUGUUGGGAUUAAUUUGGUGACUAAUAUUUUUAAUGCCCAUCAGGCUACUAAAUGUGAAUUUGGCUUUACCCUGUAAUGAUAACAGGACAAACCCAACGGGUUUCUAACAUUGCUUGUUUUCCCCUGGUAGGGGAUUUCUUUGCAUAUGGGAAAUCAGGCCGAAGUUGCCAGUAACAGCCACAUCCAUGAUUUGUAUUAAAAAUAACUAUUCAUCAUUCUGGGCUAGAGCUCUGCUUACCAUGGCUCACCUGGGAAGAUAUUCUGAUUAUGUAUCUAAUCAUUAUGAUGCCACCUUUCGAGAGGUGAGCAGACAAUUAACAAGUCCUUCAAAUUAUGUUCAAAACCCAGAGUUUGAGAAAAUGUUCCAACGCCUUCAAGUGUGAAGAUAAUAAAAACAUUACCUAAUGCUUACCGUUCACUGACAGUGUGCUGGGCAGACAUUGUUUUCAGCUCUGGCCUUGUGUUAACUCGUGAUUCUCAGAGGAGUGGGUAUUAUUCCCAGAUGGAAGAUGAAGAAAUGGCCACAGAGAAGUUAAGUAAUUUGUCCAAGGUCACAUUACUGUUCUUGGCGGGGCUGAUUCCAGAGACUGCAUCCCUAACUAGUGUACAGCAAAAGCGAGCUGGCCACUGCCACUUUGUUAUAAGACAUUUUGUUUCUUUGAGGCUUGUAUUUCUUUGUGUUCCCAAAUGGAGUCUCGUUGGUUUUUGAAUAGAAAAUAUUUUUAUAUGUUUAGGAUUUUUUUAAAUGUUGAUGAAGAUGGUGAUAAAUAUUUUUCCAAUUAAAGUAUAUACUUCUGGUGGAAAUUAUAUUAAAGAAGAGAAAGUCUUAAUUUUUA